rnacentral:rRNA from 1 species
UACGGAGGAUCCAAGCGUUAUCCGGAUUCAUUGGGUUUAAAGGGUGCGUAGGCGGAAUUGUAAGUCAGUGGUGAAAGCCUGCAGCUUAACUGCAGAAUUGCCAUUGAUACUGCAAAUCUUGAGUACAUUUGAUGUGGGCGGAAUGUGUCAUGUAGCGGUGAAAUGCUUAGAUAUGACACAGAACACCGAUUGCGAAGGCAGCUCACAAAACUGUAACUGACGCUGAGGCACGAAAGCGUGGGGAGCGAACAGG